AUUGAACGCUGGCGGCAUGCUUAUCACAUGCAAGUCGAACGGUAGCAGACCUAGCUUGCUAGGUGCUGACGAGUGGCGGACGGGUGAGUAACGCGUGGGAAUCUGCCCAGUAGCGGGGGACAACUCGGGGAAACUCGAGCUAAUACCGCAUACGCCCUACGGGGAAAGGCUUCGGCCACUAUUGGAUGAGCCCGCGUCGGAUUAGCUUGUUGGUGGGGUAAUGGCCUACCAAGGCGACGAUCCGUAGCUGGUCUGAGAGGAUGAUCAGCCACACUGGGACUGAGACACGGCCCAGACUCCUACGGGAGGCAGCAGUGGGGAAUAUUGGACAAUGGGCGAAAGCCUGAUCCAGCAAUGCCGCGUGUGUGAAGAAGGCCUGCGGGGUUGUAAAGCACUUUCAGUAGGGAAGAUUUANGACGGUACCUACAGAAGAAGCACCGGCUAACUCCGUGCCAGCAGCCGCGGAAAGU
rnacentral:rRNA from 1 species